CACACACGAGCCCGUCGCGCUUCCCUGUCCACCGUCGUCGGUGCCGCGCCAGCCCGUGCACUUCGUUGCCAUCGCCGUCGCCGGCCGUGCCCAUCGUCUCCGUAGCCAUCUGCGCCCGUCGGCGCCACUGCUCUGCGACGCAUUGUCCCCGUCAUCGUUCGCGCCAACCGUCACCUGUCCGUCCCAUCGUCGCCGGCAGCCCUGCCCGCCAUCGCGUGUGCGGCGCAUCAAGGACGCCAUCGACGGCCACGAAACGCCUCCGGCCUCACCCCGUCGUCGCGCAACCACGCCCCUCUUCCAUCCGCAGCUGAACAAGUCCCCUCCGGCAGAGACUCGCGUCGCCUGUCCGCGAUCCGCCGCAUCGUAGCCGGAAGCCCCGCCCGUCCACGCGUGGACGACUCAAUGAGAACGCUGUUGAUGACCACCUACACACCACCGGAAUCGCCCUAUCGUCGCGUGGCCCUGCCCGUCUUCCAUCCGCAGCUGAACAAGUCCCCGCCGGCAGAGAGACUCUCCGCCCAGUGCUUCCUCGCUAGGUAGAGUCUCAACCCGAUUGCUGCUUUUCCUAAUCUGAACCAAACUGAAAAUGUCUUCAAUGUGUGUUUCUGUGCGCGCUUGAAUUUGGGGCAUUUUUCACGGGUCUGACAUAUCAUCAGUUAGUGGUAAUAAUAUAUCAGGGAUAGCUCUUAUGAAAUGUCCUCAGCAGCUCACUAUGAUUCCAGAAUGGAGAUGCAUGUUUUAGUUAAAAAUCAAUUCAUUUCUUUCCUAACUCAAAUCUGUACGAUAUGUAAGAUGCAUUUCUGUUCGAAUAUUACAGAAAUAGUAUUAUUAUUCAGAACAUAAGUUAUUGGAAUUUGUGAGGUUUUCAAAUCCAUGCGAUAUGUAAGAUGAUAAUGUUGUAUGCCUGCUUGUUACAGCUAGCAUAGUUCUAUCAGUACUAAGGUAUGUAUUGAAACAACUAGCUUUGAUUUGACUACUCACAUACGUAGUUCACAUCAUUGUUCUCUAAACCAGCAUUGAAUACUUUCCACUUAUCUACAUUCGAAAAGGUUAGCUUCUGUCCACUACUCAUAUGUGUCUUAUCUCAGAUUGCAACAGGGCUUGCUGGUUUAGAUUAAUUAAUAUAUACCAAUGCUUAUUUCUGAGAGGUGCGUGGAGGUAAAAUUCCAAAUACAGUACUUAUUUCUUGACUUUUGUAGUGUGGGUUGAGGAAGAAUAUGAAACGGAACAACUAUUGGUGCUUGGCUGACUCCUUGUAACUGAGAACUACUAUUUGGAUAAAUGACAUACAUUUUCUGUUAUUUGUUGUUAGGUAGUUAUAAUCUUCACUAGCAUCAUUGGAUUUACUGGUUUCAAGUUUAUGUGGUAUUUAACAUCAGUUCAUUCAUAGUUUGGUAGCUUAUAGCUAAUUACCGUAACAAAUGUCAUGCCUUCAUAGAUUUUUUUAGACUUCCGAUGGUGGGUUCAGUAAGAGGAUAUUGGUACUUUGGGUUCCAUAUACCUUACAUGUGUCAUUCUGAUGUGGACAGCGUGCGAGCGUCAGGCAAGCGGAUGGCAUCCGAUAUAUUUAUGAGGUGCCACAGAUAUAUGAUUGUGCAGGACUCCUGGCAUUAUAAGUUGAACUGGAUGACACCACUUACAAAUAACCUAUUUUUGACACUGUAACCACAUAUUAAUCCAUAGAUUUUCUGACCCCAAUAACAAUUUGUGACCCAUCACUUGUUCUUGAAGUGCAAGCAGGUGAAACAAAGAUGGCGUACUCUACUAUUGGAAGAGGUUCGGUGAAAUUAUUGAACUGCCAAAUGGCUUUGCAAAUGCCACUGGAAAUAUCUUUUUGUCACAAGACAAUGAACUGAAGACUAUUUCUCUCCAGUGAAGUUGAUGGCAUGGAUGAAACAUGUACAAAUAGCAUAUGCCGGCAAAACAAACUCAUACUGAACCAAUGCCGAAGAAAACCUGGAAAGCCUCCCUGGACGAUUUUGUUAAGAUGCUGCCUUCUUAGAGGAGUGAUAAUAUUGUAAACUUUAUGCAGUACCAUGUGUGACCUUUGUUCAUAGCAACCAGCCUUUUUCAUGUCUUGUAUCAUUGUUCGGAUAUGUGCUUGAAAUAUGUGUUUGCACAUUUGUUGCACAGAGUGA